GGAUCUGGGGCAGCACAGGUGCAGGCGAAGUGAUCGUUGCAAGCACGGCGCCUGUGUUUUCACUGGCCGU
rnacentral:snoRNA from 1 species